ACAAACUUGGUCAUUUAGAGGAAGUAAAAGUCGUAACAAGGUUUCCGUAGGUGAACCUGCGGAAGGAUCAUUACAGAUUCAAAGGGGGGUGAUGUUCGCUCGCCGUGCACUCACCUCUUCAUUUUUGGUUGACCCUGUGCACCUUUUGUAGGCGGGGGGAGCAAGCAAUAGCUUGUUUCCUUGUCUAUGCAUUUUUUUCCUUUCACUCCAUGUGAUUAGAAUAACUGUUAUAAAUUUUAAAAACCUUUUAUAUCUUUCAACAAUGGAUCUCUUGGCUCUCGCAUCGAUGAAGAACGCAGC
rnacentral:misc_RNA from 1 species